AACGAACGCUGGCGGCAGGCUUAACACAUGCAAGUCGAGCGCCCCGCAAGGGGAGCGGCAGACGGGUGAGUAACGCGGGGGAACGUACCUUUUGGUUCGGAACAACUCCGGGAAACUGGAGCUAAUACCGGAUAAGCCCUAACGGGGAAAGAUUUAUCGCCGAAAGAUCGGCCCGCGUCUGAUUAGCUAGUUGGUGAGGUAACGGCUCACCAAGGCGAGGAUCAGUAGCUGGUCUGAGAGGAUGAUCAGCCACACUGGGACUGGGACACGGCCCCGACUCCUACGGGAGGGAGCAGUGGGGAAUAUUGGACAAUGGGCGCAAGGCUGAUCCAGCCAUGCCGCGUGAGUGGUGAAGGCCUUAGGGUUGUAAAGCUCUUUUGUCCGGGAAGAUAAUGACUGUACCGGAAGAAUAAGCCCCGGCUAACUACGUG
rnacentral:rRNA from 1 species